rnacentral:rRNA from 1 species
CGGAGGAUAAGGGUUCGACUCCGGAGAAGGGGCCUGAGAAAUGGCCACUACGUCUAAGGAUGGCAGCAGGCGCGCAAAUUACCCACUCUCAGAACGAGGAGGUAGUGACGAGAAAUAACAAGACCGUUCUCUUCAGAGGCCGGUCAUUGGAAUGGGUACAAUUUAAACCCUUUAACGAGUAUCUAUGAGAGGGCAAGUCUGGUGCCAGCAGCCGCGGUAAUUCCAGCUCUCAAAAUGCAUAGAAUCAUUGCUGCGGUUAAAAAGCUCGUAGUUGGAUCUGUGCUGGCGGGUCGGUCCACCUUCGGGUGCGCACUGAUUUCGCCGGCUUUCCUGCUGUAUUUGGCCCUGUGCCUUUCAACGGGUGCAGUGUCCAGUGCAGCAAGUUUACCUUGAACAAAUCAGAGUGCUUCAAACAGGCGUUUCGCUUGAAUGUUCGUGCAUGGAAUAAUAGAAGAGGAUUUCGGUUCUAUUUUAUUGGUUUUAUAGACUGAGAUAAUGGUUAACAGAGACUAACGGGGGCAUUAGUAUUGCUACGUGAGAGGUGAAAUUCUUGGACCGUAGCAAGACUGACUACAGCGAAAGCAUUUGCCAAGAAAGUCUUCAUUAAUCAAGAACGAAAGUCAGAGGUUCGAAGGCGAUCAGAUACCGCCCUAGUUCUGACCGUAAACGAUGCCAACUAGUGAUCCGCCGGUGGAACAUUCGCCCUGGUGGGGAACUUCCCGGAAACGAAAGUCUUCCGGUUCCGGGGGAAGUAUGGUUGCAAAGCUGAAACUUAAAGGAAUUGACGGAAGGGCACCACCAGGAGUGGAGCCUGCGGCUUAAUUUGACACAACACGGGAAAACUCACCCGGCCCGGACACCGUAAGGAUUGACAGAUUGAUAGCUCUUUCAUGAUUCGGUGGAUGGUGGUGCAUGGCCGUUCUUAGUUCGUGGAGCGAUUUGUCUGGUUUAUUCCGAUAACGAGCGAGACUCUGGCCUACUAAAUAGUUUACACAUUGCUUCUGUGUGCAUAACUUCUUAGAGGGAUUUUCGGUGUUCAGCCGCAAGAAAUUGAGCAAUAACAGGUCUGUGAUGCCCUUAGAUGUCCGGGGCUGCACGCGCGCUACACUGGCAAAAUCAGCGUGCUUGUCCUUCCCUGAAAGGGGUUGGUAAACUCGUGAAAAUUUGCCGUGAUUGGGAUCGGAAAUUGCAAUUAUUUUCCGUGAACGAGGAAUUCCAAGUAAGUGCGAGUCAUCAACUCGCGUUGAUUACGUCCCUGCCCUUUGUACACACCGCCCGUCGCUGCCCGGGACUGAGCCGUUUCGAGAAACUUGGAGACCGCUGAUCUGGUAACUUCGAUUGCCAUUUUGGUGGGAACCAAUUUAAUCGCAGUGGCUUGAACCGGGCAAAAGUCGUAACAAGGUA